CCGCGGAGCCCCGGGCAGGGGCAGAAGCAGAAUGGUAGUGUCAAGAAGCCUUUGAAACUGCGGAAGGGGUGAUCAACCGUCGCUGAAAGAGUUUGGCUAGCGCGGGGCCAGUGGCGCAAUGGAUAACGCGUCUGACUACGGAUCAGAAGAUUCUAGGUUCGACUCCUGGCUGGCUCGCAGUGUUCUCUUUUUGCACAUCUGAGCCAGGUGUCACAAGACUUCUUUGGAAAUAUUUAUGGCUAGAAUAUGAAAGCUAACUGUCUCGAAUUUGAAUGCUGAUUUGUCCAAAAUGUCAUCUUUUAAGCUAUUUGGGACGCGGAGUUGUCUGAGGUGGUUUGCAAGUUGCAAAGCGGCUACUCUUAAUCAUGCACAUGAGUCGUCUCUGCAAAUGAGGAACUUUGCGGAAAGGACACCGGGAAAGGUGGCAGUUUGGGGUGGAAACUGCUGUAGCUAGCUGUCGGAUGACGCAAAAGUACAUUUAAGGCGGCAAUUCUGGCCUGUUUUCCCCGUGGAGCAGAACUCCCCCAUGGUGACGCAGAAGCGGCGUUGUCCGUGUUUUCCAAAAUGGGUGCCUGGCUUGGAGACCCUGGAAGGCCCGAAACGUCAGCGGCCUAAAGAGGGGACUCGAACCCUGAGAUUAUAUGAGUUACCGGACAAUGGUCCAUUAAGUAGUCACUCGAUCGAUCAGUUAAUUUCUCCAAUAUAACACCCUUUCUCCUGAGUAAAUUAUAGACAAUUUGUAAAAUACAGGAAAUUAUUGGAAAUAAAAAUGACGCGAAUUCCCACCGCGA